GCAAGUUAGGAGAGGAAAAAGUGGAUACUAAAUCUCGCUCUAUUGCCCAGGCUGGAAUGCAGUGGCACGAUCUUGGCUCACCACAACCUCCACCUCCCAGGUUCAAGCAAUUCUCCUGCCUCAGCCUCCUGAGUAGUUGGGAUUACAGACUUGUGCCACCAUGCCCAGCUAAUUUUUGUAUUUUUAGUAGAGACAGGGUUUCACUAUGUUAGCCAGCCUGGUCUCUAACUCCUGAUCUUGUGAUCUGCCUGCCUCAACCUCCCAAAAUGCUGGAUUACAGGCGUGAGCCACCACACCCGGCUGGAGAAUUCUAAACAUUUACAUGACAUUACCAAUUAUGAAUUAUGAAGCUGA
rnacentral:lncRNA from 1 species